rnacentral:rRNA from 1 species
GGUCAAGCUACAAAGAGCUUAUGGUGGAUGGCUUGGCGUCAAGAGGCGAUGAAGGACGCGGUAAGCAGCGAUAUGCUUCGGGGAGGCGCAAACAGCCCUUGAUCCGGAGAUUUCCGAAUGGGGGAACCCGCCUUGAGUAAUAUCAAGGUAUCUUAAACUGAAUACAUAGGUUUAAGAGGCGAUACCAGGAGAACUGAAACAUCUAAGUACCCUGAGGAAAAGAAAAAGAUAUUGAUUCCUUAAGUAGCGGCGAGCGAACGAGGAGAAGCCCAAACCUUUGGUACUUGUACCAGAGGGGUUGUGGGACUGCAAUGUGGCAUGCAUAUGGAUAACCGAAUGGGCUGGAAAGCCCAACCAAAGAGAGUGAUAGUCUUGUAGGUGAAAUCCAGAAGCAGCCUAGCAGUAUCCCGAGUACUACGGGACACGUGGAACCCCGUAGGAAUCCGGCCUGACCACAGGCCAAGGCUAAAUACUAAUUGACGACCGAUAGUGAACAAGUAAUGUGAAUGAAAGCUGAAAAGUACCCCGGUGAGGGGAGUGAAAUAGUACCUGAAACCAUAAGCUUACAAGCUGUGGGAGGCCUAUGACCACCUUCGGUGGUAAUGGCUGACCGCGUGCCUAUUGAAUAAUGAUCCGGCGAGUUGCUCAGUGUAGCAAGGUUAAUCUCUUUGCAGAGAGGAGCCGUAGCGAAAGCGAGUCUUAAAAGGGCGUUUAGUUAUAUUGAGCUGACCCGAAACCGAGUGAUCUAUCCAUGGCCAGGGUGAAGCGUAGGUAAAACUAUGUGAAGGCCCGAACGCACUAAUGUUGAAAAAUUAGGCGAUGAGCUGUGGAUCGGAGUGAAAGGCUAAUCAAACUCGGAAAUAGCUGGUUCUCCCCGAAAUGUCUUUAGGGACAGCCUUAUGUAAUAGUUGAUAGGGGUAGAGCACUAAAUGGACUAGGGGGCUUACCCGCCUACCGAACCCAAUUAAACUCCGAAUACUAUCAACCGUAUCAUAGGAGUGAGACUGUGAGGGAUAAGCUUCAUAGUCGAGAGGGAUUCAGCCCAGACUGCCAGUUAAGGCCCCUAAGAACAGGCUAAGUGGUAAAGGAUGUAAGAUUACUUAGACAACCGGGAUGUUGGCUUAGAGGCAGCCAUCAUUUAAAGAUUGCGUAAUAGCUCACCGGUCAAUGUGAUCUUGCGCCGAUAAUAAUCGGGGCUCAAGCCUGUCGCCGAAACUGCAGAUUUAUUUUGAUCUUCGGAUUGAAAUGAGUGGUAGGGGAGCGUUCUAUGCUAGGAUGAAGGAGUACCGUAAGGAGCUCUGGACGAAAUAGAAGUGAUUAUGCCGGAAUGAGUAGCGAAAAGACCCGUGAGAAACGGGUCCGCCGUAAGCCUAAGGUUUCCUGGGGAAGGUUAAUCCACCCAGGGUUAGUCGUGCCUAAGCUGAGGCCGAAAGGCGUAAGCGAUGGACAAUCUGUUAAUAUUCAGAUACCACCUGUUAUGCGCUAUCAGUUGCAACAUGACGCAGUAGGUUAGAUCUACCCAGUGCUGGAUGUCUGGGGACAAGCCCGUAGCCUUGCAUUUGAAAGAGUGUAAGGUGAGAGGUUACGUGGAGUCCAAUCUACGGAGCGGAUGAACCGAUUGACGCCACACUGCCAAGAAAAACUGUUGUAACGAGUAUAGCGGGUGAACGUACCGUAACCCAACACAGGUAGGCGAGGAGAAUAUCCUAAGGCGCUCGAGAGAACCCUCGUUAAGGAACUCGGCAAAUUUGCCCCGUAACUUCGGAAGAAGGGGUACCUCGAAUCCUGUAGAUGUACAAUCGAAGGGAAUCGAGGUGACACUAAAGAGGCCCAGGCGACUGUUUAGCAAAAACAUAUGUCUCUGCUAAGUCGUAAGACGAUGUAUAGGGACUGACACCUGCCCGGUGCCGGAAGGUUAAGAGGCGUGGUUAGCCGUAAGGCGAAGCUACAAACUGAAGCCCCGGUAAACGGCGGCCGUAACUAUAACGGUCCUAAGGUAGCGAAAUUCCUUGUCAGGUAAGUUCUGACCCGCACGAAUGGUGUAACGGUCUGGGCGCUGUCUCGACGAGGGGCUCGGCGAAAUUGUAGUGACGGUGAAGAUGCCGUCUACCCGCGACUAGACGAAAAGACCCCGGAACCUUUACUGUAACCUGUUAUUGGAUUUUGGUCCGAUAUGUGUAGGAUAGGUGGGAGGCUUUGAAGCUUUAGCGUCAGCUAGAGUGGAGCCAACCUUGAAAUACCACCCUUGUCGUACUAGAAUUCUAACCCAUAGCCUUGAAUCAGGCGUGGGAACAGUGACAGGCGGGCAGUUUGACUGGGGCGGUUUCCUCAUAAAAGGUAACUGAGGAGCACAAAGGUUCCUUCAGCGCGUAUGGUAAUCGCGCAUUGAGUGUAAAGGCAUAAAGGAGCUUAACUGCGAGACCUACAAGUCGAGCAGAUGCGAAAGCAGGUCUUAGUGAUCCGGUGGUUGCACGUGGAAGCGCCAUCGCUCAACGAAUAAUAGGUACUCCGGGGAUAACAGGCUUAUCGGGCCCAAGAGUUCACAUCGACGGCCCGGUUUGGCACCUCGAUGUCGGCUCAUCACAUCCUGGGGGUGGAGAAGCUCCCAAGGGUCCGGCUGUUCGCCGGUUAAAGUGGUACGCGAGCUGGGUUCAGAACGUCGUGAGACAGUUCGGUCUCUAUCUGUCGUGGGCGCAGGAUAUUUGAGGAGAGCAGUCCGUAGUACGAGAGGACCCGGAUUGACGAACCUCUAGUGUUCCAGUUAUGCCGCCAGGCGUAUAAGCUGGGUAGCCAUGUUCGGAAAGGAUAAGCGCUGAAAGCAUCUAAGCGCCAAGCCUCCUUCAAGAAUAGAUAUCCCGUAUCAAAAGAUACCUAAAGAGACCUUGUAGACUACAAGGUUGAUAGGCCCCGUGUGUAAGUCCUGUAAAGGAUUUAGCUUAGGGGUACUAAUAUCUCGUGCGGCUUGACCAU